rnacentral:rRNA from 1 species
UACGUAGGGUCCGAGCGUUGUCCGGAUUUAUUGGGCGUAAAGAGCGUGUAGGCGGCCAGGUAGGUCGGUUGUGAAAACUCGAGGCUCAACCUCGAGAUGUCGACCGAGACCAUCUGGCUAGAGUCCGGAAGAGGAGAAUGGAAUUCCCGGUGUAGCGGUGAAAUGCGCAGAUAUCGGGAAGAACACCCGUGGCGAAGGCGGUUCUCUGGGACGGUACUGACGCUGAGACGCGAAAGCGUGGGGAGCGAACAGG